rnacentral:tRNA from 1 species
GGAGAGGUGGCAGAGCGGCCGAUUGCAUCGGUUUUGAAAACCGACAGGCCCGCAAGGGUCUCGGGGGUUCGAAUCCCUCCCUCUCCGCCA